rnacentral:rRNA from 1 species
AUUGAACGCUGGCGGCAUGCCUUACACAUGCAAGUCGAACGGUAACGGGCCUUCGGGUGCCGACGAGUGGCGAACGGGUGAGUAAUGUAUCGGAACGUACCUUUCAGUGGGGGAUAACGUAGCGAAAGUUACGCUAAUACCGCAUAUUCUGUGAGCAGGAAAGCAGGGGAUCGCAAGACCUUGCGCUGAUUGAGCGGCCGAUAUCAGAUUAGCUAGUUGGUGAGGUAAAGGCCCACCAAGGCGACGAUCUGUAGCGGGUCUGAGAGGAUGAUCCGCCACACUGGAACUGAGACACGGUCCAGACUCCUACGGGAGGCAGCAGUGGGGAAUUUUGGACAAUGGGGGCAACCCUGAUCCAGCCAUGCCGCGUGAGUGAAGAAGGCCUUCGGGUUGUAAAGCUCUUUCGGCUGGGAAGAAAUCGUAUCAGCUAAUACCUGGUGCGGAUGACGGUACCGGCAUAAGAAGCACCGGCUAACUACGUGCCAGCCGCCGCAGUAAUAC